AGCCCAAGUUCGGAUUGAGGGCUGGAACUCGCCCUCAUGAAGCUGGAAUCCCUAGUAAUCGCUUGUCAACAAUCGAGGCAAUCUAGCGAAAUGUUUAUAUUGUUAGCCGCAUUUAUUCUUGCGGUUAACAGUAUGGAAACUAACUGGAAGAAGAAUCCCAAAUUGCUACAGAAGAUAAGGGCAUCGUUAGGAUUUUCUCAAAUAAAAUUUGCGAGGUUUCUUGGAACGAAGCAAAGCACUUUAAGCGCUCUUGAGCGGGGCGCGAUAAAGACGGUUUCUGAAGAAGCCGCCGAGUGCUUUGCCAAGAGGCUAAAAGGUGUGAAAAUUGCAUUUAUGACUGAAAAUGAAAUGCAACGGAAACUUUUGCAAAUAUCGCAAAGAGGAAAGUUCAAGGGAGAAUAUGCAAGAAGUAUGGCCCUUAAAGUACAUAGUAAAAAUGCAGUUGAGAGUGCAAAAUCCCAACCUCUUACAAAACAGGAGGAAAGGAUAAAUACACUUUUGAAGGAAAGCGGACUGCGCUAUGAGGCUCAUCCCGCAAUUGACGCGGGGGGCAUUUCUUUCGUGGCAGAUUUUAAGGUAGAAAAAAAUAGAUGGAUGAUUCUUAUUGAGGCUAAAGAAUUUAGGACGAAAUAUAGAUUGAAAGCGCCUAUAUGCGAACUUGCAUACAAGGCUACGCGGAUAAAACGCUUCAAUAAGAAUGUGAUGAUGGUUGCAGUCGUAAGCGGAAGACUUAUGCAAUCUGAGAAAAAGAUUCUUUCGGAUGAGUUUGACGCUGUUUUUGAAGAUGAAGGAAAAAUAUUAGAAUUCGUAAAUAGAUUGCCUUGAGUGAACUCGAGCGGUGAAUACGUCCCCGCUCCUUGCACACACCGCCCGUCAAAUCACCCAAACGAAGUUUUGGUGAGGCUUUGCUUCUUGGCAGACCCGAACCAAUUCGUCGCGAGGGGGGUUAAGUCGUAACAAGGUAUCCGUAGGGGAACCUGCGGAUAGAUCACCUCCAAU
rnacentral:rRNA from 1 species